UCUGUCCUACGGGACGCAGCAGUGAGGAAUAUUGGUCAAUGGGAGGAAUCCUGAACCAGCCAUGCCGCGUGCAGGACGACGGCUCUACGAGUUGUAAACUGCUUUUGUACCGGGGUAAAAUGCCUUACGAGUAGGGUUUUGAAAGUACGGUACGAAUAAGGAUCGGCUAACUCCGUGCCAGCAGCCGCGGUAAUACGGAGGAUCCGAGCGUUAUCCGGAUUCAUUGGGUUUAAAGGGUGCGUAGGUUGUUUUAUAAGUUAGCGGUGAAAUACCGGGGCUCAACCCCGGGGCUGCCGUUGAAACCG
rnacentral:rRNA from 1 species